UACGUAGGGGGCUAGCGUUGUCCGGAAUCAUUGGGCGUAAAGCGCGUGUAGGCGGCCCGGUAAGUCCGCUGUGAAAGUCGGGGGCUCAACCCUCGAAAGCCGGUGGAUACUGUCGGGCUCGAGUACGGAAGAGGCGAGUGGAAUUCCUGGUGUAGCGGUGAAAUGCGCAGAUAUCAGGAGGAACACCAAUUGCGAAGGCAGCUCGCUGGGACGUUACUGACGCUGAGACGCGAAGGCGUGGGGAGCAAACAGG
rnacentral:rRNA from 1 species